GGGUAACCAAAGCCGGCGCACGGGUGCGUAACGCGUAUACAAUCUGCCUUUCACAUAGGGAUAGCCCGAAGAAAUUUGGAUUAAUACCUAAUGGUAUAUAAGAGCGGCAUCGUUUUUAUAUUAAAGCUACGGUGGUGAAAGAUGAGUAUGCGUUCUAUUAGCUAGUUGGAGAGGUAACGGCUCCCCAAGGCGACGAUAGAUAGGGGUUCUGAGAGGGAUGUCCCCCACACUGGUACUGAGAUACGGACCAGACUCCUACGGGAGGCAGCAGUGAGGAAUAUUGGACAAUGGUCGGAAGACUGAUCCAGCCAUGCCGCGUGCAGGAUGAAGGUCCUAUGGAUUGUAAACUGCUUUUGUAAGGGAAGAAUAAGGAGUACGUGUACUUUGAUGACGGUACCUUACGAAUAAGCAUCGGCUAACUCCGUGCCAGCAGCCGCGGUAAUACGGAGGAUGCGAGCGUUAUCCGGAAUCAUUGGGUUUAAAGGGUCCGUAGGCGGGCUGAUAAGUCAGAGGUGAAAGCGCUUAGCUCAACUAAGCAACUGCCUUUGAAACUGUCAGUCUUGAAUGAUUGUGAAGUAGUUGGAAUGUGUAGUGUAGCGGUGAAAUGCUUAGAUAUUACACAGAACACCGAUAGCGAAGGCAUAUUACUAACAAUUCAUUGACGCUGAUGGACGAAAGCGUGGGGAGCGAACAGGAUUAGAUACCCUGGUAGUCCACGCUGUAAACGAUGGAUACUAGCUGUUUGGAGCAAUCUGAGUGGCUAAGCGAAAGUGAUAAGUAUCCCACCUG
rnacentral:rRNA from 1 species